rnacentral:lncRNA from 1 species
GGUUGGUGAGCCUUUGGAAAAACCAACUGGGUUGAUUGUGAACCCGAAAAACAAUCGUUGUAAGGUUGUGGUUGGUGAGCCUGUGGAAAAACCAACUGGGUUUGAUUGUGAAUCCGGAAAAACAAUCGGUUGGUUCUAGUCGGUGAGCCUGUGAAAACCGACCGAGUUCGUUGUUAUCUCGCAAAACAACAAGUUGGGUUGUGAGCUUGUAAAACAACCGGCUGUAAUCUGUAGGAUUAUAGUGAAAUUUCCAAGAGGUCUUGGGGAGUGGAUGUAGGUGCUGGGGUGCACCGAACUACUAUAUGUUUGUUGUGUUUGUGAUGCUUUUUUUUUGUCAUUAUCUAUCUUGCUCACUUACUUACCUAGAUAAAUUGCCUGCUUAACUCUUAUCCGCGCAUCCUUUAGUUGCAAGCAUAUUCAAUUUACUUAAUCAAGUCUCAUUCGAUAAAUCAACCUAUUGCUAAGUUUAAAUUCCACUGUGCAACUAUACAACUUAGCAUAAUUAAUUGAAAAGU